rnacentral:lncRNA from 1 species
AAUAUUAAAUAAAAUAGUAAAAAAUGAUGAAAAUGAUAAUGAUAAUAACAAUAAUACUGAUAUAAUAAAUACAUAAAUAAAUCAUACAUAUGACAAUAUUUAAAGAUUAUAAAGGAAAUAAAAAUAAGUUAGUAAAAGAAAUGUUAAGAUUUAUAAAAAAAAAAAUCAUAAUAGGAGAAAAAAAAUAAUAUUAACUGAAAAAUAAGGACAAUAAACAAAUUAAUAGGUAAAUAAUA